rnacentral:tRNA from 1 species
AUUUAAAUAGUUUAAUAAAAAUUUAAUAUUGAAGAUAUUAAGAUAAUUUAUAUUUUUAAAUA